CAUCUAAGUCCUGUAGUGAACAAACCUGUUUUGUAAAACUGAAUGAACAUGUGAGCAUAACCUGUCUUUCACCUUUCCCCUCAUAUUAGGAAUAGAAGAGACACUUUGCAAUAUCAAGCAUUUUUCUUUAGUUAUACAAGAACAGCUGUUUCUUUCAUUUGGUUGCCAGGAGGAAACCCUUACAGAACUUCUGGUUUACUGCUAGAAUUGGUAGAAACAGUAAGAAAAUUAUAAAAUAUGUGAAUGACCUAACACUGCUAUGAAAAUUUAUUAGGUCAAGUUUUGAGAUGACAAAAUAUCCAUGUGUUUAUAUUAAACAUUUUUAUCCCAUAGGGCAUGCUAAUACGACUGAGAACUUAGAUGUUAUUUGACUUCAGGUGGUGGGUUUGUUCUUUCCAUUUUUAAUGUGCAGUUCUAAUUUUGUUCAGUUCUGUUUAUGUUUGUACUAGAUUGUAAGGCUUAAUAAGCUAAAACACAAAAUAAUUUACCUAUGAUGUGUUUCAGGAAUAAAACAACUACUAUUUUGUGAAAAAUAUUUUCAGAUGCAGCAGCAUUUUCAACAAUUAUGGGGAAACAGCUGUUUUUUAUCCCUCUUAAAUAUCAUCAGUCAUAUUUGAAGUAAACCAAUUAGGCCUCAGGAAGUACCACAGCCAAGGAAGUGCCUUUAAUGUACAUGAUAUUUAAAUGAUAUGAUUUCACAAUUAAGUGCAAUGUUAAAUUUAGGUAGUUCUGUCCCUGUGAUUAAAAUUUCUUUUUACUUAUGAUGGUGCAUAUGAAACAAAACCUCAUUAACUCAGAGCCUUUUUAUUCAGAAUGUGUGAUCAUUAUAGAGAAAAUAAGCUUGAAUUAAGUUCAGGGUUAUGCAUGAAAAAUUUUUUUGCUGAGUGAAGGAAAGAGAGAAGAUUUUCAUAUUUAAAACAUAUUUCUUUAUAGUGAUCAUUUUGCAGUAUUUAUAAACAUUGAAUCAUUUGUUACAUAUGAAACUAAUAUAAUGUUAUGACCAUUAUAUCUCAAUAAAAAUUUUUUAAAAAAUUAUUUGAUAAACCAAAUUAUUUCUAGUACUAUAGUAGUUAACUUUCAUGAUUAUGUUAAUUAAUUAUACUAGCUGCUGUCACUGGGAUAGAAAAUAUUCCAUGAAUUUUAUUUAUAUAAUCAUAUGUAAUCUUAGAUGGAAGGAUAAUUAAUUUCAGUUAGAAUUAAUAAACUUUUACAAUUCUCUCCAAUUCUAAGAACUAAGGACUUAUCCCAAGUCAUUCUGCUCAAUCAGGAAGGAGACCUACACCACCUAGCUCCCAAAUUUAAUUGAAUCUAGACUAUUAAAUAGCCUCUAUAUUUCAUUAGGUUAUAUCCACCACCUGCCUCUCUUCAUAAGUGUUUGUUUGUUUGUUUGUUCAUCUUUUUAGGGCCACAAUCGUGGCAUAUGGAAGUUCCUGGGCUAGGGGUAGAAUCAGAGCUGUAGCUGCCAGCUUACACCACAGCCACAGCAACAUGGGAUCCAAACUGUGUUUGCAGCCUACACCAGAGCCCACAGCAACAAGGAUCCUUAAUACAUUAAGCAAGGCCAAGGAUCAAACCUGCAUUCUCAUGGAUACUAGUCAGGUUCAUUACUACUGAGCCAUACUGGGGACUCCUCUUCAUAAGUUCUAAAGAAGAAGAUGGCAGCAUUUUUCAUAACUAGUAUUGACAGAGCUUAAAGCAAACCAGGUCCAUGGCUGGGGAACAUUCCCUCUUUACUCUUUCCUGCAUAAUUUUUUAUGAAAUCAACAGGGUCCCAUGCAGGAAGUAAAACAAAGGUGUUUCGAUAAGACCAUUCAUAGCUCUGAGAAUCCAACCCGACUUCCUUUCUGCAUAAAAUUACCUCUAACAUGAGGCUAAAAAUGGAGUUCCCAUCCUGGCGCAGUGGUUAAGGAAUCCAACUAGGAACCAUGAGGUUGCCGGUUCGAUCCCUGGCCUUGCUUAGUGGGUUAAGGAUCUGGUGUUGCCACGAGCUGUGGUGUGGGUUGCAGACACGGCUCGGAUCCGGCGUUGCUGUGGCUGUGGCAUAGGCCAGCCGCUACAGCUCCGAUUAGACCCCUAGCCUGGGAACCUCCAUAUGCUGCGCAGGAGUGGCUCAAGAAAAGGCAAAAUAAUAAUAAUAAUAAUAAUAAUAACAACAUGAGGCUAAAAAUGAAGUCCUAAUGUAAAAAAUUGGUUGGAGUUGGAACAGGAAACUUCAGCUAUAUUUUAAUUAUUCCUCAGCUCUAUAUGAGGUGUAUUUUAUGUCUAACUCACAGGAAGGUCUGUCAAAGACUGUCAAGCAGACUCUGUGCACUGUUUACUAAGAACCCAUAUUGCCCAGAGAACUGUAUAGAGCAAGGCAUUGUUCCUUAAAUAGGCCAGAAUGAAAGAGUGGUUAAUUACUGCACAUAACUAACCAGCCCAACAUGGCUACAUAAUGGUCAGUUCCUGGUUCCUGUUCGCACUGGCUUGACUUCCUCCAUUGAGCAAUCUUGAAGUUGCAUGUAUAAGGAGAUACUGCAUUUCCUCUGGAAAUUCUAGAACAUCUCUCUUCAAAAACACAAAUUUUGAUAAUAGUGGACAUGUAAAAUUAAUCAGAAGAAAAUAGAACAUGUGGCUAAGCAGAAAUGAAUCUGAUUAGUAUCCAUGAGGACACAGGAUCGAUCCCUGGCCUUGCUCAGUGGGUUAAAGAUCCAGCGUUGCUGUGAGCUGUUGUGCAGGCCUGCAGCUACAGCUCUAAUUUGACCCCUAGUCUGGAAGCUUCCAUAUGCCAUGGGUGCAGCCCUAAAAAAUCCAAAAAAAAAAAAAGAAAGAAAAGAAAAGAAAAUAGAACAUGCUAAUAUAUACAUCAAAUAACUGAAAUAGCACCAAAUCAUAUUCUCACUUUACUUAGAUUUAUUGCAAACUCAAAGACAACAGGACAACAAAAGUGGUCAAAUGGAUAACUUUCCCAGUGUUCUGUUUGUCAGUGUCUACUCUGAAAGGUAUUAAUAAUCCAGGGAAACAGACUGUCUAAUCAGAAAGGAAGAUAAUAUCAACUUUGUAAUGUUUGAGGAAACAAAGAUUAAAUAAGGAGAAAACAGGGAGUCCCCAUUGUGGCUUAGUGGUUACAAACCCAACAAGUAUCCAUGAGGAUGGGGGUUCUCUAUCCCUUACCUUGCUCAGUGGGUGAAGGACCCAGCUUUGUCAUGAACGGUGGUGUAGGUCACAGAUGUGGUUUGGAUCCUACAUUGCUGUGGCUGUGGUGUAGGCUGGCACCUGCAGCUCCAAUUUGACCCCUAGCCUGAGAACUUCCAUAUGCUGCAGGUGCAGCCAUAAAAAGCAGAUAAAUAAAAAAAUAAGACAACAGAAAUUUCACAAGGUUACAUUACACAUAUGGGAAGGCAGAGGUGGGUAACUUCCUCUUCAAACUUCUUUGCAACUGGCAGAUUCAAGAAUAACUUCCACUUUAUAAAAGACUCAUCCAGACCACACUGACAUAGGUCUGUGACCGUCCCCUCAUCUUUAUAUGAGUGCUACUCACAAGGAAAGCCUCAAAAAGAAAUUCCUGGGACUACGAAAUCUGAAUCUCAGAUAAGGAGUUUUACUAAUUUAGGGCCUCUAGCCAUAUCCAUCAUUGAAACAGAAUAUACUUUAUAUUUUGGAGGACUAUUGACAGGGCUAUGGACAGGAUUAGACCCAGGGCACCUAAGACAUAAAUGUUUAGCUUAUGAUAUCUCUCUUCCUCUCUCUUUGUACCUUUUCUCUAAAUUAAUAUUAUAUUUUUUUGUAAUAGCACUAGAUACUUUGCCCUAUUAUUGGCUGAUUUUCUCACGCAUUCUGUGUGUAUUGACAGUACAUAUUCAAGCCAGGAAUAGAGGUUAUUGUUAUUUUUAUAAUAUUAUUGAUAUUGGUAUAAUUUACUCCUUAAAAGCAGAAACAUUCAAGCCACAUUCACUGUUUAUAUAGAGACACAUAUGCAAAAAGCAAGAGACACAAGGAGACAAUAAGCAUUAUCAAUGCCUAUGACCAUUCGUGGAGUGCAGAAGAAAUACAUUUUCCCCCACAUUUGGAGAAUAAUGAAACUUUAGUUCACUACAGGAGCAGAAGGGGCGACCAAUGUUCAAAACUAAUCAUGCUCGCUCUGAGAAAAAGCAACUCAGAAAGGAAAAAUUGACAAAAUAUCUGCAUAGCUUGCACUUCAGAUAUAAUUUAAUUUAGUCAAAAGGGUCCAUUAGACAAGAAGCCUUAGAAUAGAAUAGUAAAGAUGAUGAGUCAUUUAAUAAUUCUUAAUGAAGAGCAAGUGAUAAGGAAGAGUCAGCUUGGAGGCUGGGUUUAUAGCAAUCAGCUCUUUUUUGACUAUCACUUUGCUAUUCAUGUUUAUUCAUUCACCCAUUCAUUUAAUUCAUUUCAUCCGUCCUAUCUAUGUUUGUUCAUCAAAUAAGUAUUGAUUACACACUAUAUGACAAAUAUAAUGCAUAGACAAUGAAAAGAUAUUUAUGGUAUUGACUUCAUGAACUACACAGCAUAGUAAAGAAACAAAAAUAUAAAUUAAACAAAUACAUGAAUGGAUAUUUUUUUUUCCCUUUGUAGUAAGCAUUUGCAGGAAAUAAACAGGGUGGUGAGUUAGCGACAUCAUUAGGUUGGAGUGGGAAGAAAAGCCUCUUCUCAAAAGAUCCAUUUAUGCUGAUUCCUGAGGAAGUCAAAAGAGUAAGACAUUCAAAGCCAUCGAAGUGAGGUUUUAGCCAGACAGAAGAAAUGUCAGAUUUGGAAAGUUAGAAAAACACCGGAGACUUGAAUGGCUUGAGAGUGGUGAGCAAGGUAGAGAAGGCCAUGAGGUUAACCUGCAGAAGGGGCAGCUCCUUCGGAAUCCUCUUUACUAUCUUUUAUGAUACUUGCUGGUGGCAGGUGGGGUGUGUGGAAACAGGAAGCUGUCGGGAAGUUGUUGGACUCGUCCUACUGAAAGGUGAUGAAGAUGUGAAGAGGGGAGGUGAGAAUGAAGAUGUAUGUUACUGUAGAACAAAAUUUUACUUGCAGCACAAACAGGAUUUAGUGAUUCAGAGAAAGAGAAAUCAAAGCUGUCUUUGUUUGUAAGCUGAACAACUGACAUGAUGAGGUUGCAUUUGCUUAAAUACUGAUGAGCAGAGGAGAGAUAAACAAGAAGUUUAGGUAUGACCUAAAUGCUCCUUUUGGACAUAUCUGGUUUGACAGGCAUAUCAUACCACCAAAGUGGGCUUCCCAAAAGUAAACUUCUUUUUGUGGUGCUCGAAGAUACAACCAGCUGUGUUGUUUUACAAGGAUCCUUUUGGAAAAAUAAUGAUUUACAUUCAGUAAAUAGUUUGAUUUUUAAAAAUAUUUGGUCUGAAACUUUUAGGCAUAGUCCAUCUAAUUGGCCAGAAAACCUUUGAAGCUCCUGAUUUUGUUUGAAAUUAUGUUCUUCACAAACCAAACCAGGAAAGCAGACACAGACAAACGCAUACACCUAGAGUUCAUAGAAGCUUUAAUAAUAGAGCCAGAAGUCACCAUUAGUACAGGAAAACAGAGGCUGUAGCUGCAAAAUGUUGGGGAAAAAAAAUCAUUGGACAAAAAGUCAAUACCUAGGGUUAAAUCUAAGCUUUUUAUUUAUAAGAUGCAUGCCUCUGCAAUCUUGGUUUCCUUACCUAUAAAUCAGACAUAAAUUCCUAUCCCAAGGUUUAUGCAAGAAUGAUGCACAAACAUGUAAAAAUGCUGAAGAAUUUAUAUGCACACUUAAGAUAGUUCAUUGAAGCAAUCUUCUGGGUUUUAUCAAAUCUAUGGUUUUGAAGACACAGAACCUAUUACUGUAUUAUCUUCUUACUUUAUUUUGCCCACCUGAUCUCAACUUGCAGUUUCAAAGGAAAUAUUGCUGACCCCAAGCUUCCUUUUUCAUUUUGAACUGGUGGAUUCCAAAGUUCUGAUAAAGGGAGAAUUAUCGCACAUUGUCCAGCACUUUGUAUUGCACCAAAUCCUUCCUAGGUCUGUGAUUUUUUUUUUUAAUUUCUAAGGAGAUUUUAUUUAAAGUCAACCUGGAGAAUAUCUCUUACAAUAACCCUUCUGGCAACCAAUGCUACAUUUUUUUUAAUUUAUAAGUGUAAUUUUGGACCUGAGUUUUUUUUUUAAUUUUUUAAUUAAAAAAAUUUUAUUGUUAUUUCCCCGGUACAUUUUUUUUUCUACUGGGCAUCAUGGUGACCCAGUUACACAUACAUAUAUACAUUCUUUUUUUUCUCAUUAUAAUGCUCCAUCAUAAGUGACUAGACAUAGUUCUCAAUGCUACGCAGCAGGA
rnacentral:lncRNA from 1 species